UACGUAGGGUGCGAGCGUUGUCCGGAAUUAUUGGGCGUAAAGAGCUCGUAGGCGGUGUGUCACGUCGGCCGUGAAAACUUGCAGCUUAACUGUGGGCGUGCGGUCGAUACGGGCAUCACUGGAGUUCGGCAGGGGAGACUGGAAUUCCUGGUGUAGCGGUGAAAUGCGCAGAUAUCAGGAGGAACACCGGUGGCGAAGGCGGGUCUCUGGGCCGAUGCUGACGCUGAGGAGCGAAAGCGUGGGGAGCAAACAGG
rnacentral:rRNA from 1 species